UCGUCAGUAUGCGGCACUGUAGAUUGACGUGGAAUUUCAGGUUUGCGGCAAUUUGCAGGCAACACUGAAAACUGACGUAAAUUGUCGGAAAUUGACAUGGGCCUUGCUUGGCAGUUGUCCCCCCAUGACCCCCCUCCCCCUGAUUCUAGGGGAGGCUUUAACAUGUAAAUGAAAAGGCUGUGAGCUAUACAAAUGCAAAUCAGGGUAGCAGGGGGAGUUUUACCCCAGGUAACCUUGUUCUAAAAGGUGUUAACUUCAUUUUAAGAAAAUCUCUGGUAUAAAUAGAUGAGGCUCAGUAUAGCUUAAUUAUAAACCCUUAUAUCUGAGCUUGAAUGGAUUUAUUUAAUGAAAGUAUGCUAGAUCAAUUACUGUGUAUGUCAUUAGCAAUGGCCAAUGUUAUGUAAAAAAGAUUAUUUAUUCUUUUCUCUCUCUCUCUCUCUCUCUCCUGGGAACAAGUUAAAGAUAAAACUCCAGUUGUUAAGAAGUUAAAAUGUGCAUUAAAUAUUUUGAGAUAACCAAGAUAUUAAAAUGUAAAAAAAAAAAAAAAGUAUUUCUAUCAUUUCAUGGGUUCUGAAUGUUUUAAAAGCAGUUGAAAAGUCAUUCUUAUUGCCUGUGAGAGUUCAUGACCUGUAAGAGUUUUCACAUUUCCGGGUAGACCGGCGCGUGAGUGACGAGGAAGAAGGAGCGGAGAGUUAAUGGCGUCGAGCAGCUGACGGUGGACUGUGUGUGUCGUGUUUUAUCACUAACAGACUGAACUGUUGUCUGACGACGUGCUGUGAGUGUGUGAGUUGGACUCUCCAUCGCAGUCGAAGUGUUUGUUUUAUAAUGGACACGAAGCAAGUUCGGCUAAGAUAGCUAGCAGGAGCUAGGCUAGCGGCCCGGUCAUUGUCGAGAGGACGUCUGCGCGGACGGGAGAAGCUUUGCCGGGUCGCCACGAAGAAUGUCGCCGACGGACGGCGCUUCCCUGCGGCAGAGGGACACGGAGGUUUAUCGCUGCGAGCAUUUUGUUUUCACAGACCAACCUCGCCUCAUAACAAGGCCGCGACCUCCUGUUAGCUCGGAGCCACGUCUGCAAGUCCAGAUUUACACGAUGCCGAUAAUGACGCCAGCAUUGUGUCUGCCUGUGAGACAUUACGAGACAGUACGCAGGACAACAAACAAGCAGAUCUUGCAUCGCAGGCGGACGCUGUGAGGAGUUCAGCUCGGAGUCGAUCGAGGACAAAGAGGCUGCUGGAAGCGAGACAGAGUGCUAGCUGAGGAUGAGGUGGACUUUUCGAUGUGCGCCGCCAUGGACCUGAUGUCUGAGGAGGAAGACGGCACAAGAUGGCGGGUGUCCGGAUGAAUUGUGCGACCUCCGUCCUUUCGCAGUCGGGAGCUCACCGAGCUCUGUGCCACACUGCAGUCACAUGAGAGGCGAUUCCGAAGUACAGAGCAGCGCACCACAGACGUCUGCAGAAACAGACACUUCGCGGUGCUGCAGGAUUUUGGGCCUCUUGAGCUUCCUGUUUGUUGUGUGGGCAGAUUAUGCUUUGUACAUGCUGUGUGUUUGUUUGUGCUAAUAAAACUCUUUCUUUGAAUAAACAACUCCUUCCUGGUAAAUGUUCCUUUCCUCAGUAAAUUCAUUCAUGUCAUUGAUGAUAUCAUAAAUAUAAAUGAAUGAAUAAAUCAUAUAAAUAUAUAAACAUAAUAUAUAUAUAUAUAUUCCCACCGGGGUCUACAUUUAUAAUGACCCAUGGUGACCAAUCACGAGUGAUUUUGCUUGUUUAUGAGUAGUGGUUUCAUCCAAUACUGAGUGAGGAUAUUGAAGCCAGCCCACACGUU
ensembl:lncRNA